AAUCUUCGGCAAUGGACGAAAGUCUGACCGAGCAACGCCGCGUGAGUGAAGAAGGCCUUCGGGUUGUAAAGCUCUGUCCUAAGGGAAGAAUGUACGUUAUGUGAAUAAUGUAAUGUAAUGACGGUACCUUGGGAGGAAGCCCUGGCUAACUACGUGCCUGCAGCCGCGGUAAGACGUAGGGGGCAAGCCUUGUCCGGAAUUACUGGGCGUAAAGCGCUCGUAGGCGAAUUAUUAAGUCAGAUGUGAAAACUCUGGGCUCAACCGAGAGCAUGCAUCUGAUACUGGUAGUCUUGAGUGUAGAAGAGGAGAGUGGAAUUCCUAGUGUAGCGGUGAAAUGCGUAGAUAUUAGGAGGAACACCAGUGGCGAAGGCGACUCUCUGGUCUAUAACUGACGCUGAGGCGCGAAAGCGUGGGGAGCAAACAGG
rnacentral:rRNA from 1 species